rnacentral:snRNA from 1 species
GGAUGUGAGGGCGAUCUGGCUGCGACAUCUGUCACCCCAUUGAUCGCCAGGGUUGAUUCGGCUGAUCUGGCUGGCUAGGCGGGUGUCCCCUUCCUCCCUCACCGCUCCAUGUGCGUCCCUCCCGAAGCUGCGCGCUCGGUCGAAGAGGACGACCUUCCCCGAAUAGAGGAGGACCGGUCUUCGGUCAAGGGUAUACGAGUAGCUGCGCUCCCCUGCUAGAACCUCCAAACAAGCUCUCAAGGUCCAUUGUAGGAGAACGUAGGGUAGUCAAGCUUCCAAGACUCCAGACACAUCCAAAUGAGGCACUGCAUGUGGCAGUCUGCCUUUCUUU